rnacentral:rRNA from 1 species
GGACCCGCACAAGUAGUGGAGCAUGUGGUUUAAUUCGAAGAUACGCGCAGAACCUUACCAACACUUGACAUGUUCGUCGCGACUCUAAGAGAUUAGAGUUUUCGGUUCGGCCGGACGAAACACAGGUGCUGCAUGGCUGUCGUCAGCUCGUGUCGUGAGAUGUUGGGUUAAGUCCCGCAACGAGCGCAACCUCACUUUUAGUUGCCAUCAUUAAGUUGGGCACUCUGAAAAGAACUGCCAGUGAUAAGCUGGAGGAAGGUGGGGAUGACGUCAAGUCCUCAUGGCCCUUACGUGUUGGGCUACACACGUGCUACAAUGGCUAGGACAGACGGCAGCAAACCCGCGAGGGGGAGCC